rnacentral:rRNA from 1 species
CAUGUCUUUUUGUGUAUUAAUUUAAAGUCUAAUCUGCCCAUUGAUUGUAAUUUAACGGCUGCGGUAUAUUGACCGUACAAAGGUAGCGUGAUAAUUAGUUUUUUAAUUGAAAGCUGGUAUGAAAGAUUGGACGAGGAAUUUACUGUUUCAAUAUAUUUUUAUAAUUUUAUUUUUAAGUUAAAAAGCUUAAAUUUUUUCAUGGGACGAGAAGACCCUAUAGAGUUUAAUAUUCUUAAUUUUUUUUAGUAUUCCUAAUUUAUAAGAAUAUUUAGUUGGGGUGACUUAAAAAUUUAAUAAACUUUUUAUUUUGAAACAUUGAUUUUUGGAUUUUUGAUCUAUUUUAAUAAUUAAAGAUAAAAUUACCUUAGGGAUAACAGCGUUAUUUCUUAAAGAGUUCUUAUCAGAUAAGAAGUUUGCGACCUCGAUGUUGGAUUAAAAUUAAUAUUUGGUGCAGUAGCUGAUAUAUUAAGUCUGUUCGACUUUUAAAAUUUUACAUGAUCUGAGU